rnacentral:lncRNA from 1 species
UGAACAUUGAGGAAAUUAACUCAAACAUUCUUAAGCCCAAGAUUUCAACCUGUGAAAACGCCCCUGUGUCCCAGAUGAGUAGGAGAGGCAGGGAUACUGCAGAGAGGCUGCACUGUCUCAUGCAAGAUCACAACUCCAAAUGGAAAAUAAAUGCACUGCAACCACCACAAUCUGAAGUAAAAGUCAACAUUUGGGAAAUAAAGCCUCCUGAUUUUAGUUAUAAACUGUAUACAUCUUUGAGGCUUGCAGAAAAGCCAUCAAGGACCAUCAUGGAAGAAGAAAGAAGAAAAAUCCCUGAUUUUCCAGGAAAAAUGGUUCACCUUCCCAGCCUAAGGAAUCCUCCCAAGAAGGCCAUAUCUCCUAAAUUUAUAACUACAUUUCCACGUCUGGAUUCACAUAAAGCAAAGUUAAUGUUUGUGGAGAGUGGAAAAUAUCCAAAUGGUGUAUACCUCAAUCCAAAACCACAUGACUUUCGACAGGACUAGAAACACUAAGAAGAGAACCUCGUCUAACUUCUGGAU